rnacentral:misc_RNA from 1 species
UUAACUUUUAAAUUUUAUACAAAAUCAGACAAAUAUCAUUAUGAAUAAGAGUUUAGUUUGUUUUGUUCUAUAGAAUACACAAUUCCAUCUUCUCAAAAACAGGUAAAAUACACAGAAGGGGUUUAAUAGGGUCAAUUUACAUUUAAUGAUCCUUCCGCAGGUUCACCUACGGAAA